GUCUGACCCAUGGGACCUUCAGUUUUGGGAUUUUGGGCAGAUCUGACUUACAGGACCUUCAGUUUUGGGGUUUUGGACAGGUCUGUCUCAGUUUUGGGGCUCUGGGCAGGUCUGGCUCAGCUUUGGGAUUUUGGACAGGUCUGGCUCAGUUUUGGGGUUUUGGACAGGUCUGGCUCAGUUUUUGGGGUUUUGGACAGGUCUGUCUCAGUUUUGGGGUUCUGGGCAGGUCUGGCUCAGCUUUGGGGUUUUGGACAGGUCUGUCUCACUUUUUGGGGUUUUGGACAGGUCUGUCUCAGAUUUUGGGGUUUUGGACAGGUCUGUCUCAGUUUUGGGGCUCUGGGCAGGCCUGUCUCAGUUUUUGGGGUUUUGGACAGGUCUGGCUCAGUUUUUGGGGUUUUGGACAGGUCUGUCUCAGAUUUUGGGGCUCUGGGCAGGCCUGGCUCACAAAUCCUUCAGUUUUGGGGUUUUGGACAGGUCUGACUUACAGGACCUUCAGUUUUGGGAUUUUUGACAGGUCUGGCUCAGUUUGGGGUUUUGGACAGGUCUGGCUCAGUUUUUGGGGCUCUGGGCAGGUCUGGCUCAGUUUUUGGGGCCCUGGGCAGCGCUGUCUCCUGGGACAUCCCCACAUCCCAUUCCAAGGAGCCUCCACGACAGCACAAGGAGAACCCACCCAGAAGGACACCGAGCUCGGGCACAUCCCAGCUCCGAAUUCCCAGCUCCACCCCUCCCCAAUUCCCAUUCCC